rnacentral:rRNA from 1 species
AUACGGAGGAUGCGAGCGUUAUCCGGAUUUAUUGGGUUUAAAGGGUGCGUAGGUGGUGAUUUAAGUCAGCGGUGAAAGUUUGUGGCUCAACCAUAAAAUUGCCGUUGAAACUGGGUUACUUGAGUGUGUUUGAGGUAGGCGGAAUGCGUGGUGUAGCGGUGAAAUGCAUAGAUAUCACGCAGAACUCCGAUUGCGAAGGCAGCUUACUAAACCAUAACUGACACUGAAGCACGAAAGCGUGGGGAUCAAACAGGAUUAGAUACCCUGGUAGUCCACGCAGUAAACGAUGAUUACUAGGAGUUUGCGAUACAAUGUAAGCUCUACAGCGAAAGCGUUAAGUAAUCCACCUGGGGAGUACGCCGGCAACGGUGAAACUCAAAUGAAUUGACGGGG